GAAAGAUUCAUCGGAAGAGGAUGGGCAUGCGGCGCAUUAGCUAGACGGCGGGGUAACGGCCCACCGUGGCGACGAUGCGUAGGGGUUCUGAGAGGAAGGUCCCCCACACUGGUACUGAGACACGGACCAGACUCCUACGGGAGGCAGCAGUGAGGAAUAUUGGUCAAUGGGAGAGAUCCUGAACCAGCCAAGCCGCGUGAGGGAAGACGGCCCUAUGGGUUGUAAACCUCUUUUGUCGGAGAACAAAACCCGGGACGUGUCCCGGACUGCGUGUAUCCGAAGAAAAAGCAUCGGCUAACUCCGUGCCAGCAGCCGCGGUAAUACGGAGGAUGCGAGCGUUAUCCGGAUUUAUUGGGUUUAAAGGGUGCGUAGGCGGUCCGUUAAGUCAGCGGUAAAAUUGCGGGGCUCAACCCCGUCGAGCCGUUGAAACUGGUAGACUUGAGUUGGCGAGAAGUACGCGGAGUGCGCGGUGUAGCGGUGAAAUGCAUAGAUAUCGCGCAGAACUCCGAUUGCGAAGGCAGCGUACCGGCGCCAGACUGACGCUGAGGCACGAAAGCGUGGGGAUCGAACAGGAUUAGAUACCCUGGUAGUCCACGCAGUAAACGAUGAAUGCUGGUUGUCCGGGUCGAAUGAGAUCUGG
rnacentral:rRNA from 1 species